rnacentral:rRNA from 1 species
UCCUACGGGGAGCAGCAGUAGGGAAUCUUCGGCAAUGGGGGGAACCCUGACCGAGCAACGCCGCGUGAGUGAAGAAGGUUUUCGGAUCGUAAAGCUCUGUUGUUAAGGAAGAACGUGUGUGAGAGUGGAAAGUUCACACAGUGACGGUACUUAACCAGAAAGGGACGGCUAACUACGUGCCAGCAGCCGCGGUAAUACGUAGGUCCCGAGCGUUGUCCGGAUUUAUUGGGCGUAAAGCGAGCGCAGGCGGUUAGAUAAGUCUGAAGUGAAAGGCAGUGGCUCAACCAUUGUAGGCUUUGGAAACUGUUUAACUUGAGUGCAGAAGGGGAGAGUGGAAUUCCAUGUGUAGCGGUGAAAUGCGUAGAUAUAUGGAGGAACACCGGUGGCGAAAGCGGCUCUCUGGUCUGUAACUGACGCUGAGGCUCGAAAGCGUGGGGAGCGAACAGGAUUAGAUACCCUGGGUAGUCC